rnacentral:rRNA from 1 species
GAUGAACGCUGGCGGCGUGCCUAACACAUGCAAGUCGAGCGGAGAAUUGUUGCUUGCAACAAUUCUUAGCGGCGGACGGGUGAGUAACACGUGGGUAACCUGCCCUAAACAAAGGGAUAACAAUGAGAAAUCAUUGCUAAUACCGUAUAAGCUUACACUAUCGCAUGAUAGAGUAAGAAAAGAUUUAUCGGUUUAGGAGGGGCCCGCGUCUGAUUAGCUAGUUGGAGAGGUAACGGCUCACCAAGGCGACGAUCAGUAGCCGACCUGAGAGGGUGAUCGGCCACAUUGGGACUGAGACACGGCCCAACCUCCCACGGGAGGCAGCAGUGGGGAAUAUUGCACAAUGGAGGAAACUCUGAUGCAGCAACGCCGCGUGAAGGAAGAAGGUUUUCGGAUCGUAAACUUCUAUCUACAGGGAAGAAAAAAAUGACGGUACCUGAGUAAGAAGCCCCGGCUAACUACGUG